rnacentral:rRNA from 1 species
GCGCAACCCUUAUGCUUGGUUGCCAGCGAGUCGGUCGGAAACUCAAAGGAGACGGCCGGUGAUAAACCGGAGGAAGGUGGGGAGGACGUCAAGUCAUCAUGGCCCGUACGAGUAGGGCGACCCACGUGCUACAAUGGCAUAUACAAAGGGCGGCAAGCUAGCGAUAGUGAGCGAAUCCCAGAAAGUAUGUCGUAGUCCGGAUUGGAGUCUGCAACUCGACUCCAUGAAGUCGGAAUCGCUAGUAAUCGCGGAUCAGAAUGCCGCGGUGAAUACGUUCCCGGGCCUUGUACACACCGCCAGUCACACCAUGGGAGUGGGUUGCAAAAGAAGUAGGUAGAUUAACCUUCGGGAGGGCGCUUACCACUUUGUGAUUCAUGACUGGGGUGAAGUCGUAACAAGGUAACCGUAGGGGAACCUGCGGUUGGAUCACCUCCUUA